rnacentral:sRNA from 1 species
CGAGUUGGGAUGGAGCUACGAAGCCUGG